rnacentral:tmRNA from 1 species
CUCGGUCAGCAGAGGCUAGCCAGGUAAGAUUAAAGAGCUGACUAAGCUUGUAGUAAAUUUUGGGCAGCUUCUUCUGGACGGGGAGUUCGACUCUCCCCCGUCUCCACCA